rnacentral:sRNA from 1 species
CUGGUACACUGUUGGAGAGAUGAGACAGUCACAGCAGCUGCCCCUAGUGGGGCUCUUACUGUUUUCUCUUAUUCCAAGCCAACUAUGUGAGAUCUGUGAGGUAAGUGAAGAAAACUACAUCCGCCUAAAACCUCUGUUGAAUACAAUGAUCCAGUCAAACUAUAACAGGGGAACCAGUGCUGUCAAUGUUGUGUUGUCCCUCAAACUUGUUGGAAUCCAGAUCCAAACCCUGAUGAAAAAGAUGAUCCAACAAAUCAAAUACAAUGUGAAAAGCAGAUUGUCAGAUGUAAGCUCGGGAGAGCUUGCCUUGAUUAUACUGGCUUUGGGAGUAUGUCAUAACCCUGAGGAAAACUUAAUAUAUGAUUACCACCUGAUUGACAAGCUAGAAAACAAAUUCCAAGCAGAAAUUGAAAAUAUGGAAGCACACAAUGGCACUCCCCUGACUAACUACUACCAGCUCAGCCUGGACGUUUUGGCCUUGUGUCUGUUCAAUGGGAACUACUCAACCGCCGAAGUUGUCAACCACUUCACUCCUGAAAAUAAAAACUAUUAUUUUGGUAGCCAGUUCUCAGUAGGUAACUUCAACAUCUCCAGUGAUGAGCCUGUAACUGUAACACCUCCUGACUCACAAUCAUAUAUCUCAGUCAAUUACUCUGUGAGAAUCAAUGAAACAUAUUUCGCCAAUGUCACUGUGCUAAAUGGCUCUGUCUUCCUCCGUGUGAUGGAGAAAGCCCAGAAAAUGAAU